rnacentral:rRNA from 1 species
AUUGAACGCUGGCGGCAUGCCUUACACAUGCAAGUCGAACGGUAACAGGUCUUCGGAUGCUGACGAGUGGCGAACGGGUGAGUAAUACAUCGGAACGUGCCCGAUCGUGGGGGAUAACGGAGCGAAAGCUUUGCUAAUACCGCAUACGAUCUACGGAUGAAAGCAGGGGACCGCAAGGCCUUGCGCGGACGGAGCGGCCGAUGGCAGAUUAGGUAGUUGGUGGGAUAAAAGCUUACCAAGCCGACGAUCUGUAGCUGGUCUGAGAGGACGACCAGCCACACUAGGACUGAGACACGGCCCAGACUCCUACGGGAGGCAGCAGUGGGGAAUUUUGGACAAUGGGCGAAAGCCUGAUCCAGCCAUGCCGCGUGCAGGAUGAAGGCCUUCGGGUUGUAAACUGCUUUUGUACGGAACGAAAAGACUCUUUCUAAUAAAGAGGGUCCAUGACGGUACCGUAAGAAUAAGCACCGGCUAACUACGUG